rnacentral:rRNA from 1 species
GAUGAACGCUAGCGGCAGGCUUAACACAUGCAAGUCGAGGGGUAUUGGUUUUCGGACCAAGAGACCGGCGCACGGGUGCGUAACGCGUAUGCAAUCUACCUUUUGCAGAGGGAUAGCCCAGAGAAAUUUGGAUUAAUACCUCAUAGUAUAGUACUUUGGCAUCAAGGAACUAUUAAAGUCACAACGGCAAAAGAUGAGCAUGCGUCCCAUUAGCUAGUUGGUAAGGUAACGGCUUACCAAGGCUACGAUGGGUAGGGGUCCUGAGAGGGAGAUCCCCCCACACUGGUACUGAGACACGGACCAGACUCCUACGGGAGGCAGCAGUGAGGAAUAUUGGACAAUGGGCGCAAGCCUGAUCCAGCCAUGCCGCGUGCAGGAAGAAGGUCCUAUGGAUUGUAAACUGCUUUUAUACAAGAAGAAACACUCCCUCGUGAGGGAACUUGACGGUACUGUAUGAAUAAGGACCGGCUAACUCCGUGCCAGCA